rnacentral:sRNA from 1 species
GUCCGUGCCGUGUCAACCGGACGUGACAGGGAUGACGAAUGUAGGCAUUUUUGCGGUUUCCACUUGCGGCCAACGAAGCGGCAGUCGAGCAUCCCACCUGUCCAGCGC